GGGGCUGUGGCGCAGCGGUAGCGCAUCUGACUGGCAGUCAGAGGGUCAGGGGUUCGAAUCCCCUCAGCUCCA
rnacentral:tRNA from 1 species